rnacentral:rRNA from 1 species
AGUCUGCAACUCGACUACAUGAAGCUGGAAUCGCUAGUAAUCGCGAAUCAGAAUGUCGCGGUGAAUACGUUCCCGGGUCUUGUACACACCGCCCGUCACACCAUGGGAGUCGGUAACGCCCGAAGUCAGUGACCCAACCAAUCUGGAGGGAGCUGCCGAAGGCGGGAUCGGUAACUGGGGUGAAGUCGUAACAAGGUACC